rnacentral:rRNA from 1 species
ACAUGCAAGUCGAGGGGCAGCAUAAUGGAUAGCAAUAUCUAUGGUGGCGACCGGCGCACGGGUGCGUAACGCGUAUGCAACCUACCUUUAACAGGGGGAUAACACUGAGAAAUUGGUACUAAUACCCCAUAAUAUCAUAGAAGGCAUCUUUUAUGGUUGAAAAUUCCGAUGGUUAGAGAUGGGCAUGCGUUGUAUUAGCUAGUUGGUGGGGUAACGGCUCACCAAGGCGACGAUACAUAGGGGGACUGAGAGGUUAACCCCCCACAUUGGUACUGAGACACGGACCAAACUCCUACGGGAGGCAGCAGUGAGGAAUAUUGGUCAAUGGACGCAAGUCUGAACCAGCCAUGCCGCGUGCAGGAUGACGGCUCUAUGAGUUGUAAACUGCUUUUGUACGAGGGUAAACUCACCUACGUGUAGGUGACUGAAAGUAUCGUACGAAUAAGGAUCGGCUAACUCCGUGCCAGCAGCCGCGGUAAUACGGAGGAUUCAAGCGUUAUCCGGAUUUAUUGGGUUUAAAGGGUGCGUAGGCGGUUAGAUAAGUUAGAGGUGAAAUCCCGGGGCUUAACUCCGAAAUUGCCUCUAAUACUGUUUGACUAGAGAGUAGUUGCGGUAGGCGGAAUGUAUGGUGUAGCGGUGAAAUGCUUAGAGAUCAUACAGAACACCGAUUGCGAAGGCAGCUUACCAAACUAUAUCUGACGUUGAGGCACGAAAGCGUGGGGAGCAAACAGGAUUAGAUACCCUGGUAGUCCACGCAGUAAACGAUGAUAACUCGCUGUCGGCGAUACACAGUCGGUGGCUAAGCGAAAGCGAUAAGUUAUCCACCUGGGGAGUACGUUCGCAAGAAUGAAACUCAAAGGAAUUGACGGGGGCCCGCAC